ACGGGAGGCAGCAGUGGGGGAUAUUGCACAAUGGGGGAAACCCUGAUGCAGCGACGCCGCGUGAGUGAAGAAGUAUUUCGGUAUGUAAAGCUCUAUCAGCAGGGAAGAAAAUGACGGUACCUGACUAAGAAGCUCCGGCUAAAUACGUGCCAGCAGCCGCGGUAAUACGUAUGGAGCAAGCGUUAUCCGGAUUUACUGGGUGUAAAGGGAGCGUAGACGGCGAGGCAAGUCUGAUGUGAAAGCCAUGGGCUCAACCCAUGAACUGCAUUGGAAACUGUUUUGCUUGAGUGUCGGAGAGGUAAGCGGAAUUCCUAGUGUAGCGGUGAAAUGCGUAGAUAUUAGGAGGAACACCAGUGGCGAAGGCGGCUUGCUGGACGACAACUGACGCUGAGGCGCGAAAGCGUGGGGAGCAAACAGGAUUAGAUACCCUGGUA
rnacentral:rRNA from 1 species